rnacentral:lncRNA from 1 species
AGCCAUUUACACAUUUAUCUACGAACAAAAUUCAUCAAUUUUUUUUUUUUUUUUUUUUUAUUUUCAACUUUAUCGUUAUUACUACCGCACUUUAACAGUUCUCAUCCUGGAAUAGAAAUCACUCUAGCACUCGAUAGAAAACUUUUUCCUGUGAUAAAACCUCGAGUUAUUUUAGCUGAAAAGAAGUUUUCGACAAGAGACUUUUUUCUUGUGAACGGUUUUUCGCAGUUUAAACAACAAAUUCUAGUCUGGAAAGGGGAGAGAACGUCAGAGAUGCUUCACUUUCAUGCCAAAGUAUGAAGACUGUGUUUGCAUUUAUUGUUGUAUAAUAGUGCCAAUGUCGAGAACGGAAUUUCGCCAACGAUUACACAGACUUUUUUCGUUAUCACUAGAUUGUUCCGUCCUCCGAUGUUCCUUUUUCUGUAACAUAAAAUGGGACGCAAAUUUGUUCCGUGGUUUAUUUUCCUCCUCUUCAUCUUGGAUUGUUUUAUUGUAACUCGUUUCUGACUUUAUAAAAUUAACAAAGUUGUCCAAAACUAAAACUAAAAAUAAAGAGAAACGGGUAUUUGAUAUAUUUUCAUAGAAGAAAUGGUAGAGGUUUAGCCUGGAACUGUGUAGUUGACCAAUAGAAAGCACUUCCUACAGAAUUUCCUAUUGUAAAAGAGGAAGUGUCGCGUCAUUUAAAUAUCUUCCCGGGGAAGGAAACGAAGCAGACUUAAGAUAGCCACCAUGAAAUUUCUCUUUAAAGUGUGCCCAUUUUUGCAACUUUGAUUGGAUAAAGCGUGUCUCAGUGAAGAUGAUCCUAAUUUGUCUGUCACUCGCUCCACGUUUCAUCGACAUAAUUUAAAAAAAAAAAAAAAAGUAUUACCCAAAUUGAGUUAAGGUAGUUUCUUUUGAACAGAACUGUAAAAAAAGUGUAAUAUUUCUUAUUUUGGCACGAUCUUAAGUACAACUCGUUAGCAGCUAUAUAUAUAUUUAUAUAUAUAUAAAUAAAUAUAUAUCAUUCUGUGAAUGCUAUGUAUGUACAGUCUUUGAUUAUGCUGGAAUUAUUGUACAGAGUAAUUUAAUUUUGUUGAAUAAAUAUUUGCCGAAUAUUUCGGUUGUCUUAAUUUUUAACCUUUUUAGUGAUUCAGUGAAUAGCACC